rnacentral:rRNA from 1 species
UACGGAGGGUGCAAGCGUUACCCGGAAUCACUGGGCGUAAAGCGCAUGUAGGCGGCCAAGCAGGUCUGAUGUGAAAGCCCUUGGCUCAACCAAGGAAGUGCAUUCGAAACCGCUCUGGCUCGAGUCCCGGAGAGGGUGGUGGAAUUCUCGGCGUAGAGGUGAAAUUCGUAGAGUUCGGGAGGAACACCUGUGGCGAAAGCGGCCACCUGGACGGAGACUGACGCUGAGAUGCGAAAGCGUGGGGAGCAAACAGG